AGAAAUUCGGAUUAAUACCGCAUAAUAUUAUUUAGUUUCAUGAUUAGAUAAUUAAAACUCCGGUGGUAAAAGAUGGGCAUGCGUGACAUUAGAUUGUUGGUGAGGUAACGGCUCACCAAGUCUACGAUGUCUAGGGGUUCUGAGAGGAAGAUCCCCCACACUGGUACUGAGACACGGACCAGACUCCUACGGGAGGCAGCAGUGAGGAAUAUUGGUCAAUGGGCGAAAGCCUGAACCAGCCAUGUCGCGUGUAGGAAGACUGCCCUAUGGGUUGUAAACUACUUUUGUAUGGGAAGAAAUAUAUCUACGUGUAGAUAUUUGCCGGUACCAUACGAAUAAGCACCGGCUAACUCCGUGCCAGCAGCCGCGGUAAUACGGAGGGUGCGAGCGUUAUCCGGAUUCAUUGGGUUUAAAGGGUGCGUAGGCGGAAUGAUCAGUCAGUGGUGAAAGUUUGUGGCUCAACCAUAAAAUUGCCUUUGAUACUGUCAUUCUUGAGUACAUUUGAGGUGGGCGGAAUGUGUUGUGUAGCGGUGAAAUGCAUAGAUAUGACACAGAACACCAAUUGCGAAGGCAGCUCACUAAACUGUAACUGACGCUGAGGCACGAAAGCGUGGGUAUCGAACAGGAUUAGAUACCCUGGUAGUCCACGCCGUAAACGAUGAUUACUAGUUGUUUGUGAUACACAAUAAGCGACAAAGCGAAAGCAUUAAGUAAUCCACCUGGGGAGUACGUUGGCAACAAUGAAACUCAAAGGAAUUGACGGGGGCCCGCACAAGCGGAGGAACAUGUGGUUUAAUUCGAUGAUACGCGAGGAACCUUACCUGGACUUAAAUGGGGAGUGACAGCUUUCGAAAGUUAGUUUUCUUCGGACACUCUUCAAGGUGCUGCAUGGUUGUCGUCAGCUCGUGCCGUGAGGUGUCGGGUUAAGUCCCAUAACGAGCGCAACCCACGUUGUUAGUUACCAGCACAUAAUGGUGGGCACUCUAACAAGACUGCCGGUGUAAACCGCGAGGAAGGUGUGGAUGACGUCAAAUCAGCACGGCCCUUACGUCCAGGGCUACACACGUGUUACAAUGGCCGGUACAGAGGGCAGCUACUUGGUGACAAGAUGCGAAUCUCGAAAGCCGGUCUCAGUUCGGAUCGAAGUCUGCAACCCGACUUCGUGAAGCUGGAUUCGCUAGUAAUCGCAUAUCAGCCAUGAUGCGGUGAAUACGUUCCCGGGCCUUGUACACACCGCCCGUCAAACCAUGGAAGCCGGGGGUACCUGAAGUCUGUAACCGCAAGGAGCGGCCUAGGGUAAAUCUGGUAACUAGGGUUAAGUCGAACAAGGUA
rnacentral:rRNA from 1 species